AGAUGGCGACCGGCGCACGGGUGAGUAACACGUAUCCAACCUGCCGAUAACUCGGGGAUAGCCUUUCGAAAGAAAGAUUAAUACCCGAUGGCAUAAUAGAACCGCAUGGUUUGAUUAUUAAAGAAUUUCGGUUAUCGAUGGGGAUGCGUUCCAUUAGGCAGUUGGUGGGGUAACGGCCCACCAAACCUUCGAUGGAUAGGGGUUCUGAGAGGAAGGUCCCCCACAUUGGAACUGAGACGCGGUCCAA
rnacentral:rRNA from 1 species